AGAGUAGGGUGGAGCUCCCAACAGGCUGGGCAUGGAGAACGGCUCGGGCGCCAGGCAUGACUAAGAGAUAUCGUGAAAUUACAACUCAACAAUGAAUUACAGCACAGGCUUUUCACAACUAAGAGACUGUCCAUCAUGGUGCCAGUUUUUCUCAAAAUGGCAUGUGUGCAUGAAAUUCUACAGGCAUAUGGGGUCGUGAUCUGCUAAUCUCCAGUUAUUAUACAAAACUACAGAUACUUGAAAACAGAACCAAAUAAAAAUUCUAGCAGAAGAAGACAAUAUAUGAAAUUUAAUAAUUCAUUUCCUGGGAAUGACAGCAGAAAGGUGAUGACAGAGGAAAGAGCCAAUAAAAUUUGAAGACAGACUACUUUGAAAAGGGACUUUCCAGCUAUCAGUACACUAUCUCACAAUUACCCUUGAACCAGAAGACAAUGAAUGAUUUGCUAAACAGAUGGCAUAGUCUAUGACAUGCAUCAUAUGUGUGAGCAAUCACAGAAGACUCCUUCCUGUUGCCUUGUGAAGAAGGCUCCUGCUUCCCCUUCACCUUCUGCGCGAUUGUAAGUUUCCUGAGGCCUCCUAGCCAUGCUUCUUGUUCACUCUGCGGAACUGUCCUGAGCUGAAAAGAAUAUGAGAAAUCGGAUUUUACGACAUGUAAGUGACAUAAAUACUCAUAUAUACAAAGUGAAAGAGCUAAGGCAGAAUGCAGGUAUCAUGACUCUCAAGGAAUAGAAUUACAAAGAGAAUUUUUACAGAGCACUAAAGUAUUACAUUGUUGAAGAUGAACAUAGCUGAAUAUGUGAUAAGCUCUUAAAAAUAAAGCGUGCACUGCACGACAGCAUUUUGGUCAAUGACGAACCACAUAUGUGAUG
rnacentral:lncRNA from 10 species